rnacentral:lncRNA from 1 species
UUAAAAAAAAAAUAGAGGAAUAGGAUUAAAAUAUAUAAGUUGCAUUGUAUUUUAAAAUAGGGUUAAUUUCAUACAGGUCUAUGCAAAUAUAGUGAAUUAUAAAUAUAUUUCUACAAAGUUCAACUUUAAUAUAUUAUUCCUGUAAAAGUCUUAAUAUUUUCAAAUAUAUCCCUCUGACUUGUUACCGUUAAAAUACUGACUAUUUUAUAAGUGAAAUGACUUGUUCGCUAUCACAAAUAUGUUUCUCCCAACUGUUAAUUGAAGUGGGGCAAAAAGGUCAAUUCACCUCAUUAACUAAUUACGGUUAGAUAUUUAACAUAUGAUUAACUAAAAUUUUCUAACAGAUUCUAAAACCAGGAACAUAUUUGAAAAUAUUAGGACUUUUGUAAGGACAAUAUAUGAAAGUUGAAUUUUGUAGGAAUAUAUUUAUAAUUCACUAUAUUUAUAGGGAUCUGUAUGAAAUUAACCUUUUAAAAUAACAUUACUAUCCCAAAACUCUAUUAUCAAUA